CCUCAGCAUGAACUCUGUGCGAAUUUGACAUACCCUUCAAAAAUGCGAUGUAUAGUCCGAACAGUACUAAUCUUAAAAGUGUGUAGCGCAUUCUAACAACACGCGCAUUUCAAUGUAUUAUGAACCUUUUAUUGCAAUUUUAUUAUUAAAUAAAUUCCAAAACGCAUAUCGGAGUUGAGUUUUAAUGCAAAAAUGAAAUAAAAUCGAAAUUGAUGUUGCAAUAAAGUCUUAUGUUUUGACCAGAAUUUGCCUAUUACACCUGUAAGUGAGGAUACACAAUGUUGUGUGAUUAUACAGGAGCCCUAGAUGGGCCUUGAAAUUCAGCGAAGCCAUCCGUAUCACUUAUGACAGAUUUCUUAGUUCAUAAACAUAAAUUUUCCUGAGCUCGAUACUCGUGAGAAUACGCUUGAGGCACAACCGACCACCAACACACAGUUUUCACUUUC